rnacentral:rRNA from 1 species
UACGUAGGGGCCUAGCGUUGUCCGGAUUUAUUGGGCGUAAAGAGCUCGUAGGCGGUUUGGUGAGUCGGGUGUGAAAUCUCCACGCUCAACGUGGAGGAGCCACCCGAUACUGCCAUGACUGGAGUCCGGUAGGGGAGUGUGGAAUUCCCGGUGUAGCGGUGAAAUGCGCAGAUAUCUGGAGGAACACCGGUGGCGAAGGCGGCUCUCUGGGACGGUACUGACGCUGAGACGCGAAAGCGUGGGGAGCGAACAGG